GAUGAACGCUAGCGGCAGGCCUAAUACAUGCAAGUCGAACGGUAACAUGAGUAGCAAUACUUGAUGACGAGUGGCGCACGGGUGCGUAACGCGUAUGCAAUCUACCUUUAACUGGUGAAUAGCCCGAAGAAAUUCGGAUUAAUACACCAUAGUAUAUUAGAGUAGCAUUACUUUAAUAUUAAAACUACGGUGGUUAAAGAUGAGCAUGCGUGACAUUAGCUAGUUGGUGAGGUAACGGCUCACCAAGGCUACGAUGUCUAGGGGAUCUGAGAGGAUUAACCCCCACACUGGUACUGAGACAGGGACCAGACUCCUACGGGAGGCAGCAGUAAGGAAUAUUGGACAAUGGUCGCAAGACUGAUCCAGCCAUGCCGCGUGAAGGAUGACGGCCCUAUGGGUUGUAAACUUCUUUUGUACGGGAAAAAACCCCUCUACGUGUAGAGGGCUGAUUGUACUGUAAGAAUAAGGAUACGGCUAACUCCGUGCCAGCAGCCGCGGUAAU
rnacentral:rRNA from 1 species